rnacentral:rRNA from 1 species
CAGCAGCCGCGGGAAUACGGAGGAUCCAAGCGUUAUCCGGAAUCAUUGGGUUUAAAGGGUCCGUAGGCGGUCUUGUAAGUCAGUGGUGAAAGCACAUCGCUCAACGGUGGAACGGCCAUUGAUACUGCAGGACUUGAAUUAUUGGGAAGUAACUAGAAUAUGUAGUGUAGCGGUGAAAUGCUUAGAGAUUACAUGGAAUACCAAUUGCGAAGGCAGGUUACUACCAAUUGAUUGACGCUGAUGGACGAAAGCGUGGGUAGCGAACAGGAUUAGAUACCCCCGUAGUCCCUGUCUCUUAUAC